AGUGAACGCUGGCGGUAGGCCUAACACAUGCAAGUCGAACGGCAGCACAGUAAGAGCUUGCUCUUACGGGUGGCGAGUGGCGGACGGGUGAGGAAUACAUCGGAAUCUACUUUUUCGUGGGGGAUAACGUAGAGAAACUUACGCUAAUACCGCAUACGACCUGCGGGUGAAAGCAGGGGAUCUUCGGACCUUGCGCGAUUGAAUGAGCCGAUGUCGGAUUAGCUAGUUGGCGGGGUAAAGGCCCACCAAGGCGACGAUCCGUAGCUGGUCUGAGGGGAUGAUCAGCCACACUGGAACUGAGACACGGUCCAGACUCCUACGGGAGGCAGCAGUGGGGAAUAUUGGACAAUGGGCGCAAGCCUGAUCCAGCCAUACCGCGUGGGUGAAGAAGGCCUUCGGGUUGUAAAGCCCUUUUGUUGGGAAAGAAAAGCAGCAGGUUAAUACCCCGCUGUUCUGACGGUACCCAAAGAAUAAGCACCGGCUAACUUCGUG
rnacentral:rRNA from 1 species